UACGGAGGAUCCAAGCGUUAUCCGGAUUUAUUGGGUUUAAAGGGUGCGUAGGCGGCCAACUAAGUCAGACGUGAAAUCCCCAGGCUCAACUUGGGAACUGCGUCUGAUACUGGGUGGCUUGAGUGCAGGAGAGGAAUGCGGAAUUCCAGGUGUAGCGGUGAAAUGCGUAGAUAUCUGGAGGAACACCGGUGGCGAAGGCGGCAUUCUGGACUGUAACUGACACUGAGGAACGAAAGCCAGGGGAGCAAACGGG
rnacentral:rRNA from 1 species